rnacentral:rRNA from 1 species
GACGAACGCUGGCGGCGUGCUUAACACAUGCAAGUCGAACGGAAAGGCCUCAGCUUGCUGGGGUACUCGAGUGGCGAACGGGUGAGUAACACGUGGGUGAUCUGCCUCGUACUUCGGGAUAAGCCUGGGAAACUGGGUCUAAUACUGGAUAGGACCAUGCUUUAGUGUGUGUGGUGGAAAGUUUUUUCGGUACGAGAUGAGCCCGCGGCCUAUCAGCUUGUUGGUGGGGUAAUGGCCUACCAAGGCGUCGACGGGUAGCCGGCCUGAGAGGGUGGACGGCCACAUUGGGACUGAGAUACGGCCCAGACUCCUACGGGAGGCAGCAGUGGGGAAUAUUGCACAAUGGGCGCAAGCCUGAUGCAGCGACGCCGCGUGGGGGAUGACGGCCUUCGGGUUGUAAACCUCUUUCGCUAGGGACGAAGCUUUUUGUGACGGUACCUAGAUAAGAAGCACCGGCUAACUACGUGCCAGCAGCCGCGGUAAUACGUAGGGUGCGAGCGUUGUCCGGAAUUACUGGGCGUAAAGAGCUCGUAGGUGGUUUGUCGCGUCGUCUGUGAAAUUCCGGGGCUUAACUUCGGGCGUGCAGGCGAUACGGGCAUAACUUGAGUGCUGUAGGGGAGACUGGAAUUCCUGGUGUAGCGGUGGAAUGCGCAGAUAUCAGGAGGAACACCGAUGGCGAAGGCAGGUCUCUGGGCAGUAACUGACGCUGAGGAGCGAAAGCAUGGGGAGCGAACAGGAUUAGAUACCCUGGUAGUCCAUGCCGUAAACGGUGGGCGCUAGGUGUAGGGGUCUUCCACGACUUCUGUGCCGUAGCUAACGCAUUAAGCGCCCCGCCUGGGGAGUACGGCCGCAAGGCUAAAACUCAAAGGAAUUGACGGGGGCCCGCACAAGCGGCGGAGCAUGUGGAUUAAUUCGAUGCAACGCGAAGAACCUUACCUGGGCUUGACAUAUGCAGGAUCGGCGUAGAGAUACGUUUUCCCUUGUGGUCUGUAUACAGGUGGUGCAUGGUUGUCGUCAGCUCGUGUCGUGAGAUGUUGGGUUAAGUCCCGCAACGAGCGCAACCCUUGUCUUAUGUUGCCAGCACGUGAUGGUGGGGACUCAUGAGAGACUGCCGGGGUUAACUCGGAGGAAGGUGGGGAUGACGUCAAAUCAUCAUGCCCCUUAUGUCCAGGGCUUCACACAUGCUACAAUGGUCGGUACAACGCGCUGCGAGCCUGUGAGGGUGAGCGAAUCGCUGAAAGCCGGCCUCAGUUCGGAUUGGGGUCUGCAACUCGACCCCAUGAAGUCGGAGUCGCUAGUAAUCGCAGAUCAGCAACGCUGCGGUGAAUACGUUCCCGGGCCUUGUACACACCGCCCGUCACGUCAUGAAAGUUGGUAACACCCGAAGCCAGUGGCCUAACCUUUGUGGGAGGAGCUGUCGAAGGUGGGAUCGGCGAUUGGGACG